GUUACACCACAGGAAAAGACCUGAAGGGAUGAACAUGUAAACCAAGACUUUAACCAACGGUCACUCUUUGAAUUAACAGGUUUCAAAGCAACAUCACCACAGACAGCUUGCCAAUGGACAUCAAUGAAACCUUUUCCAGUACUUUUGUAUAGCUGCUUGUAUAGCAUGAAGUGAUCAGUACUUUCCUCGUAUCUCUGAGAUUGCGUUUUGAAUCAGAUGUAGUAGGUGUGAAAUUGAAAAGGAAAUAAGAAUUAUAAUCUCCUCCUCAACUACACCGGCAACAAAAUGUUAUCUAUGGCUCUGGUUACUUUGACAGGAAAGGAUUGGAGUAAGUAACGAGGAUUGAAUUCUGUUCUUUUAUACUGUUUGUUUUUUUACUCAGUGACCUAAAAAUUAGGUGUUGAUGGCUCAACAUUCUAAUGUUUAGUGUUGCUUUCCUGACAAAAAGGCUUGAGAUUUUAAACAAACAAAUGUUGUUAUGCGUCAAUGACAUCAGAGACACCUGUUGCUCAUUGAUGCACAAUGAUGAAUGACUAGUGUACAACACGCAAUAUAAGACCAGACAAACCAGCUAGGGCAGGUAAGUCUGAAUAGUUUUGUCAGCAAUCUCUAUAGGAUCAGCUAUUUGGUCACAAGGGCUGCUUUGGAAUGGAGAUGGACCUGGAAUGGAAGUAAAGAGGCUUUUCUUUGUACAUAGAGUAAACCAUUGAAAUGGUGGCCUCAGGAAAACGUCAAAGUCCUUUGAUGGGACUUGCUCUUACUUGCUUUUCAAUGAUUAAAAAGGAGACUACAGGUGUCAAUAUAAGGUGGGAGGUCAGAAGAUGCAUGAGUUUUCAGUAUUUAUUUACAGUUAUUUUGUCAGUGACUUAAAAGAAGACAGAAUGUAUCUGGGUGAUUUUUGCUUUUGAUGAAGAUAAGAAUGACCCAAGAAGAUUGGAUGGAUUUCAGGCUCCAGGGAGAAGUUGAAGAUAUUUCCUUUUUCACUCAACUUAACUCUGCUUUAAAUUCCUCAUUUGCUUAGUUCAAUAGUUAAAUCACAAACAUCGUUUUUCUUGGUUUUAUAUUGAUAGCUACAUACCAAUGUAUAUGUGAACACAGAAAGUAUAAGUGUGAUUAAAUAUGUAUUCUUGAA